CGGGUGAGUAAUGCUUGGGAAUCUAGCUUAUGGAGGGGGAUAACUACGGGAAACUGUAGCUAAUACCGCGUAGUAUCGGAAGAUGAAAAUGUGGGACCUUCGGGCCACAUGCCAUAGGAUGAGCCCAAGUGGGAUUAGGUAGUUGGUGAGGUAAAGGCUCACCAAGCCGACGAUCUCUAGCUGGUCUGAGAGGAUGACCAGCCACACUGGGACUGAGACACGGCCCAG
rnacentral:rRNA from 1 species